GUAACUCACGAGAAGUGGUAACUCACGAGAAAUGAUAACUCACGAGAAGUGGUAACUCACGAUAAGUGGUAACUAACGAGAAAAGUGGUAACAAUCUAGAAGUUGUAACUAUCGAGAAGUGGUAGCUAUCGAGAAGUGGUAACUAUCGAAAAGUGGUAACAAUAGAGAAGUUGAAACUAUAAGAAAUGCUAACUCUCGAUAAAUCUUGAUUCUUAAGGUAACUUUUGUUAUGGAAGCGAUUACUACACAGA